GACGAACGCUGGCGGCGUGCUUAACACAUGCAAGUCGAACGGAAAGGCCUGCUUUCCCUUGUGGAUUGCGGGUACUCGCGUGGCGAACGGGUGAGUAACACGUGAGUGAUCUGCCCCCAACUUGGGUAUAAGCCUGGGAAACUGGGUCUAAUUCCCGAUAGGACUGCAGGGUGGUGCCUGUGGUGGAAAACGAUUUUCUAGUGGUUGGGGAUGAGCUCGCGGCCUAUCAGCUUGUUGGUGGGGUAAUGGCCUACCAAGGCGGCGACGGGUAGCCGGCCUGGGAGGGUGGACGGCCACAUUGGGACUGAGAUACGGCCCAGACUCCUACGGGAGGCAGCAGUGGGGAAUAUUGCACAAUGGGCGGAAGCCUGAUGCAGCGACGCCGCGUGGGGGAUGACGGCCUUCGGGUUGUAAACUCCUUUCGACCGCGAGGAAGCCACCUGGUUGGAAGGGUGGUGACGGUAGUGGUAGAAGAAGCACCGGCUAACUACGUG
rnacentral:rRNA from 1 species